CCUACGGGAGGCUGCAGUGAGGAAUAUUGGUCAAUGGGCGCAGGCCUGAACCAGCCAAGUCGCGUGAGUGAAGACUGCCCUAUAGGUUGUAAACUCCUUUUAUAAGGGAAGAAUAAUGACUAAGUGUCGUCAGAUGCCCGUACCUUAUGAAUAAGCAUCGGCUAACUCGGUCCCAUCAGCCGAGGUAAUACAGAGGAUGCGAGCGUUAUCCUGAUUUAUUGGGGUUAAAGGGUGGGUAGGCGGUAUUUUAAGUUAGUGGUAAAACGGAGGGGCUUCACCUUGAUUGGCAAUUUAAACUGGAGUACUAGAGUACAGACGAGGUAGGCGGAAUAAGUUAAGUAGCGGUGAAAUGCUUAGAUAUAACGUAGAACCCCGAUAGCGAAGGCAGCUUACCAGACUGUUACUGACGCUGAAGUACGAGAGCGUGGGUAGCGAACAGGAUUAGAUACCCGAGUAGUC
rnacentral:rRNA from 1 species